GACGAACGCUGGCGGCGUGCUUAACACAUGCAAGUCGAACGGAAAGGCCCUGCUUUUGUGGGGUGCUCGAGUGGCGAACGGGUGAGUAACACGUGAGUAACCUGCCCUUGACUUUGGGAUAACUUCAGGACACUGGGGCUAAUACCUGAUAGGAGCUCCUGCUGCAUGGUGGGGGUUGGAAAGUUUCGGCGGUUGGGGAUGGACUCGCGGCUUAUCAGCUUGUUGGUGGGGUAGUGGCUUACCAAGGCUUUGACGGGUAGCCGGCCUGAGAGGGUGACCGGCCACAUUGGGACUGAGAUACGGCCCAGACUCCUACGGGAGGCAGGAGUGGGGAAUAUUGCACGAUGGGCGGAAGCCUGAUGCAGCAACGCCGCGUGCGGGAUGACGGCCUUCGGGUUGUAAACCGCUUUCGCCUGUAACGAAGCGUGAGUGACGGUAAUGGGUAAAGAAGCACCGGCUAACUACGUG
rnacentral:rRNA from 1 species